UUGUAAUGACUACAGAUGAAAAUUAGCUUUGUGCUAAAUCUGGUGCAGCCAUCUUUUUAAUGUAACUGCACAUUGUCCUUCAAAUAACUAAAAUUAAAUUAAAAAAAAAA